rnacentral:rRNA from 1 species
GUAGGUGGCAAGCGUUGUCCGGAAUUAUUGGGCGUAAAGCGCGCGCAGGCGGUUCUUUAAGUCUGAUGCGAAAGCCCACGGCUCAACCGUGGAGGGUCAUUGGAAACUGGAGAACUUGAGUACAGAAGAGGAAAGCGGAAUUCCACGUGUAGCGGUGAAAUGCGUAGAGAUGUGGAGGAACACCAGUGGCGAAGGCGGCUUUUCUGGUCUGUAACUGACGCUGAGGCGCGAAAGCGUGGGGAGCAAACAGGGAUUAGAUACCCUGGUAGUCCACGCCGUAAACGAUGAGUGCUAAGUGUUAGGGGGGUUUCCGCCCCCUUAGUGCUGCAGCUAACGCAUUAAGCACUCCGCCUGGGGAGUACGGCCGCAAGGCUG